UACGUAGGGAGCGAGCGUUAUCCGGAAUUAUUGGGCGUAAAGGGUGCGUAGAUGGUUGAUAUAAGUCUUUUGUAAAAAUGCUAGGCUCAACCUAGUAGGGCAAAAGAUACUGAUGAACUAGAGUACGGCAGAGGCAAGUGGAACUACAUGUGUAGCGGUGGAAUGCGUAGAUAUAUGGAAGAACACCAGUGGCGAAAGCGGCUCUCUGGUCUGUAACUGACGCUGAGGUUCGAAAGCGUGGGUAGCAAACAGG
rnacentral:rRNA from 1 species